CAGGGGCAUGCGAGGGCAGGGUGAGCACCUGAGAGUGAGGGCCUCCUUAAAGUCUGUGGUCCAGGGUCCUUUGGUCCCCUAAUCCCAGAGCAGAAAAGAAAGCCUUCAAAUCCAGCUGCUGCCUGAAGAGCCUCAGACUCACUCCCCUGGGGCAGCAAAGUGCAUUUCUUUACCCACAAGGCCCUGUAGUGCUGACUGGAAGAUGGGGCUGUCAGGGACUCAUGGGAAAGAAUGGCACAUUGGAUACAAACUCAUUCGGCUUAGUUUUACCCUGUGGCUGCCCCUGUAGUGUCAUUUGUGACACCAGGAAUAUGUUCCAUACCAACCGAAUAGCUUCUCUUCCUAUUCGUGCCAGUGCAUGGAACUAUAUAAUCAUUCAUCUAUUCAUUAAUUCAUUUAUUUGUAGCCUUCCUCUUUAUAUAGGCUUAGAGAGCCACUACUCGAAGCCAAGCCUUACGUCAGGCAGCAGAGAUACCAAGAUGAGGUUGAAGAAAACACACGGCUUUCUCCACUCAUGGACUCCAAUGAGGAUGGCAACAACAUGGUAAUUAGAAGUCAUUAGCAGAUUGCUCUCAGCAAGUGGAAAGCAGUGAGAAUUCUGAAGCAAGACUUCUCUGGACUUCAGGGAAGUCCCUCUAAGGAAGUGACAUCUAAACUGGAACUCCACUGCCUCUAGGCUGAGACUUGACCUUGUGACUCCAGCCUAGGAUUAUAUAAGGAUGUGACUGACCUUAGAGGAUUUCACGGGAACUUAGCUGUACACGUGGAACCCAUUUAUUUGCUGACACUUCUCAUUUCCUUUCAGAACAAACCUACAUUCCCAGACCUAUAAUUUUCUUGAGAAAAUGGGUUUAUUAUAAGUCACUCAAUAAAACACCCUACCAUGGCUUCCCAGUACAAA
rnacentral:lncRNA from 1 species